rnacentral:rRNA from 1 species
GACGAACGCUGGCGGCGUGCUUAACACAUGCAAGUCGAGCGGUAAGGCCCUUUCGGGGGUACACGAGCGGCGAACGGGUGAGUAACACGUGGGUGACCUGCCCUCAGCUCUGGGAUAAGCCUGGGAAACUGGGUCUAAUACUGGAUAUGACUCCACGGUGCAUGUCGUGGGGUGGAAAGCCUUGUGCGGCUGAGGAUGGGCCCGCGGCCUAUCAGCUUGUUGGUGGGGUGANGGCCCUACCAAGGCGACGACGGGUAGCCGGCCUGAGAGGGCGACCGGCCACACUGGGACUGAGACACGGCCCAGACUCCGUACGGGAGGCAGCAGGUGGGGAAUCUUGCGCAAUGGGCGAAAGCCUGACGCAGCGACGCCGCGUGAGGGAUGACCGGGCCUUCGGU